AGACCCGAAACCCGGUGAUCUAGCCAUGGGCAGGUUGAAGGUUGGGUAACACUAACUGGAGGACCGAACCGACUAAUGUUGAAAAAUUAGCGGAUGACCUGUGGCUGGGGGUGAAAGGCCAAUCAAACCGGGAGAUAGCUGGUUCUCCCCGAAAGCUAUUUAGGUAGCGCCUCGUGAAUUCAUCUCCGGGGGUAGAGCACUGUUUCGGCUAGGGGGCCAUCCCGGCUUACCAACCCGAUGCAAACUGCGAAUACCGGAGAAUGUUAUCACGGGAGACACACGGCGGGUGCUAACGUCCGUCGUGAAGAGGGAAACAACCCAGACCGCCAGCUAAGGUCCCAAAGUCAUGGUUAAGUGGGAAACGAUGUGGGAAGGCCCAGACAGCCAGGAUGUUGGCUUAGAAGCAGCCAUCAUUUAAAGAAAGCGUAAUAGCUCACUGGUCGAGUCGGCCUGCGCGGAAGAUGUAACGGGGCUAAACCAUGCACCGAAGCUGCGGCAGCGAACGUAUCACCCAAGACAACUUUACGGAGUUGACGAUUGACGGAGCGAAGCGACGUCAAAGCGUUCAUUAAAGUCGAGUUGGCUUAGGGAUACGUUCGUUGGGUAGGGGAGCGUUCUGUAAGCCUGUGAAGGUGUGUCGUGAGGCAUGCUGGAGGUAUCAGAAGUGCGAAUGCUGACAUAAGUAACGAUAAAGCGGGUGAAAAGCCCGCUCGCCGGAAGACCAAGGGUUCCUGUCCAACGUUAAUCGGGGCAGGGUGAGUCGACCCCUAAGGCGAGGCCGAAAGGCGUAGUCGAUGGGAAACGGGUUAAUAUUCCCGUACUUGGUGUUACUGCGAAGGGGGGACGGAGAAGGCUAUGUUGGCCGGGC
rnacentral:rRNA from 2 species